rnacentral:rRNA from 1 species
UGGGGAAUAUUGCGCAAUGGGCAAAAGCCUGACGCAGCGACGCCGCGUGGGGGAUGAAGCUUCUCGGAGUGUAAACCCCUUUCGACCCGGACGAAUGACCCGCAAGGGUUUGACGGUACGGGUAUAAGAAGCCCCGGCUAACUACGUGCCAGCAGCCGCGGUAAUACGUAGGGGGCCAGCGUUGCUCGGAAUUACUGGGCGUAAAGGGUUCGUAGGUGGUGCGGUAAGUUGGGAGUGAAAUCUCUGGGCUUAACUCAGGGGCUGCUUUCAAAACUGCCGUGCUCGAGUGCGAGAGAGGUCAGUGGAAUUGCAGGUGUAGCGGUGAAAUGCGUAGAUAUCUGCAGGAACACCCGUGGCGAAGGCGGCUGACUGGAUCGCAACUGACACUGAGGAACGAAAGCUAGGGGAGCAAACA